rnacentral:tRNA from 1 species
GCCUGGGUGGCUCAGUUGGCAAAGCAUCCGACUUCAGCUCAGGUCAUGAUCUCAUGGUUUGUGGGUUCGAGCCCCAUGUCGGGCU